rnacentral:misc_RNA from 1 species
CGUCGAAGCGGGAGAGUUGGUAAAACUUUUACCGGGUUUCUCCUUGUAAUAAGUUAAUUCAUAAACAUUCGCUAUGAAAAAGUGAAGAAAUCGUUGGAAGGGUCAAACAGAAGGUAUUUUAGUCAUGGAUUUAGGUAAUAAAUUCCCAGUUGGCCGUCCAGUCGACGUGUACGUCACCCAUGUUCAAGAUGAAUCAGGAGCCUUCUUCGUGCAAAUCAACAACGAAGAGGCGGGAAAGUUGGAUGAACUGAUGGAAGAAAUUGAUUUGUUUAUNUCCAGUGGUCAAUCGCAGGCUCUACAAGGUAGUGACAUUGAGAUUGGAGUCGUUUACUUGGCNCAAUAUUCUGUCGAUGCGAAAUGGUAUCGUGCACGUGUUAAAGCUGUCAAACCUACCGGCCUCUGUGAUGUGCAUUUUAUCGAUUACGGUAAUACUGAGCAGAUCCCUGUCAAAUUUGUGCGUCGUGCUCAGCCAGCUUUCCUCCAGUUGCAUCAACAGGCGUUUCAAUGUGAGCUUGAUGGCAUAUCCAAAUUCCAAGGCCCAAGCUUCAUGAGUGCCAUUUCUACCCUGAAAGAGCUGAUUCUAGAGCAAGAGCUUGUGUGCGUGACGACGUCAGUCAAUAGGGGUAUCUUGUUGGUCAAAGUCUUUACAGAUGCAAGCUGCAAUAACUCUAUUNUUGAUAGUUUACUGUCACAGGUGCAAAGAACACCCCUUCCAGCUCCCAUCAGCAAUANUCCUGCUCCAUCAUCAAGCAGAAAAUACUCCAUUGUGUCUCUAACCAAGGGUGAAUAUCUUGACUUCCANGUUUCUCAUGUUCAAGAUCCUUACAGCUUUUCAUGUCAACUACUGGAAGAGAUUCCAAAGAUACUGGAACUUCUUGAUGAAUUAGCAGAAGAAUACAGUGAUGGAGAUGUUCCCUUGUUGUCAAGUUCUCCAGGGUACCCUUGCUGUGCAAAGUUUUAUGAAGAUGAUUGCUGGUAUAGAGCUGUAAUUACCAAUUCAAGUGGCGUUGCUUCUGGAACAAUUGAUGUUAAAUUUGUGGAUUAUGGAAACUCUCAGACGACGUCAAUUAANGAUGUGAAAGGUCUCAAAGAGAAAUACCUUGAUAUUCCCAUGCAGGCAAUUGAAUGCUCACUUUAUGGUGUGCAGCCAGAGGGUAAGAACCCAGAUUGGUCUUCACAGGCUAAAGAGUUAUUCUCAAAGCUGACUAGUGAGAAGCAUAUCAUUGCUGAAAUAUGUGANCAGNAUUCNAGUGGAAAGUAUCAAGUAAGACUGACUGAUAUGACAGGCGACAUGGAUAUGCAGCUGGAUCAGAUUCUGAUUGCAGCCAAGUAUGCUGAGAAGGUUUCCACAAAUACUUCAUUGAAAACUCAAGUCAGUCAGCAUAGUAAUGUACAAGUGUCCAANCCCAGUNCUGAGCCNCCAAAACCUAUUUUCCCCUUCACUAAAGAGGCGAUUUCUCCAGGUAAAGAAGAAAAAGUUCUUGUCUCGUCAAUACANAGCCCAUCUGAGUUUUACUGNAUGUUGUACAGAACAUCCUCUAAGCUUGAAAAGCUAAUGGCUGAUAUUGCAAGGCAUUACUCAGGACUUAGUCGAGAUGAUGAAUGGCUUUCUUCGCCAUCAGUUGGUGACCCUUGCUGUGCCAGGUUUUCUGAUGAUCAAUCAUGGUACCGAGCUAUUGUUAAAGAUGUUCAAAGUUCUGGUAAAGUAAAAGUACAGUUUAUAGACUAUGGAAACUAUGAUACAGUAAUACCUAAAGAUGUCAAGAGAUUAGCACCUCAAUUCUCUGAGCUUCCUUAUCAAGCUAUAGGCUGCACAAUGCAUCGUAUAUGCCCAAAUGGUCAAGACUGGAGACAUAUGGACACAAAAAAAUUUGAAGAGUUAGCUUUGGAAUACACUGGAAAGUUAACGNUCAUUUCUGAGAAUUCAGAUGGAAUGAAAAAUGUGGAGCUGCUGAUCAGUUUGAAGGGCAAAGAAGUUAAUGUUGCAGAAGCUAUGCUUCUCAGUGGUAAUGCAAGGCUGGUAGAAGGAGCAUGUUCACNGUCAGAAAACCUGGCAAGUAUUUCUUCAAAGANGUUCCCUAAGCUUAAUCUACCACUAGGGACAUAUGAAGAUAUUUUUGUUACACAUGUGGAUGAUCCAGCUAAUUUCUGGUGCCAGUUGGUCAAACACAAAGAUGAACUUGAUGCAGUAAUGAAUGCUGUGGAAGAGCAUUGCACUUUAUUGAACACUCCAUUACGAGCACCUAGUUUAGGGCUUGCUUGCUGUGCUCAGUUUAGUGAUGAUGCAUGGUAUCGUGCAAAUAUCAGNGGAGUCAUGAAGAACCAUCAAGUUGAAGUCCAUUUCAUUGACUAUGGAAACUAUGAUACCAUACCUUUAUCAAAACUNAGAACCGUCAAACCAGAAUUGAUGAAUUUNCCAGCACAAGCCUUCAAAUGUCGUCUAGAGCAGAUGGACACUAAGAACUCUGCUCCAUUCUCCCAUGAUGUGAUUGACAAGUUUAUUGAUCUAACAGUUGAUAAAGAAUUGGUUGGUAUGAUAGCUUCAUAUGAUGAAUCAGCUCAGCAGUACUUAAUUUCCUGUACUGACACAAGUGGUGGCAAUACUCUUGAUGUUUAUGAGCAGAUUGCAUCUUCAUUGCCUCAAAGCAGCGUAAAAGAGUGCAUAAUUCCCAAGCAAGACCUCAAACCAGGUCAGCGAGAACAUGUUUGUAUCACAACUGUAACUGGACUAUCAAAGUUUUAUUGCCAGCUAAUGCGAAGUGCUUCUCAGUUUGAUGCCAUGAUGAACAACCUGGAUGAACACUACAACAAGCUGACAACAANGCAGGAAGACAUGUCCGGACUACAACCUGGGAAUUACUGUGCUGCCAAGUACUCUGAAGAUAACAGCUGGUACAGGGCCAAAAUCAUUGAUUCUAAGAUCAAUGUGCUUUAUGUAGACUUUGGAAAUGGUGAGCAGUUGUCAGCAAAGUCAAUCAAGAGGUUAGUUCCAAUGUUUGCUCAGCUUCCUGAGCAAGUUUUGCUGUGUACUUUGGCAGGAGAUACAAGUGGUUUUUCGGACUCUCAGUUCAUUGACUUGACAUUGGAUAAAGAGUUUGACAUGGAGAUCAUGUCAUUUGAUAACAAUGGUACAGCCAAAGUCAAUCUUUACACAAAAGCUGAAAAGAAACCUAUUAUUCAACUUCUGACAAAAGAGAAACCUAAACCAAUGGUCAAUAUCCAACCAAACUCUCUUGCUGCUGGUGCCAAAGAAACUGCCUAUGCUACAUUUGCAGUAGAUAUAUCAAAGUUUUAUGUUCAGUUGUCCAAGUCAGGAGAUUCUCUUGCAGAACUAAUGAAUGAGAUUCAUGAAUACUACAGCAAACUUGCAGAGACACAAGAUGGUUUAGAUAGUCCCCAAGUUGGUAUGUUUUGUGUAGCAAACUUUAGUGAAGACAAUGGAUGGUACCGUGCUAAAGUGGUAGCUGUUCAUAGUGACAGCAUAGAAGUAUUGUACAUAGAUUAUGGUAACUCUGAGGUGAUUCCUCUNUCAAGAGCCAAGGUAUUAAAGCCAGAGUUCGCCAGCUUGCCUUCUCAGGCACUUCAUUGUAAAUUGUCUGGAGUGGCAUCAAUCAGUGAUGAUGAAAGUGCUGGGAAGUUCUUGAAGCUUGUAGAAGACCCAGAAAUGCCUUUUGANCUUCAAGUUGUUGCUGUUCAACCAAGUGGUGUCCAUGAAGUCAUNCUUGUCAACAAAGAAACUGGAACAUCAGUUAAUCAAGAAUUAUCGGGGAAAAGUGUUGUGUCUGACAUAAGUAAAGUAACCUCAGUUAGUCCAGCAAGUCUGAAUCCAAUACCUCUAACUAUUGGAGAAACCUAUGAUGGACAAAGUGGAGUNGCUUCAUCNCCUUCNCAGUUCUGGUUCUCACUUAACAAAUAUGUUGAUGACCUUAAUGCAUUGCUUGAUGAAAUGGCAGAGUACUAUUCAUCACUUGGUCCAGCUGAUGGUGUUCUGUCUUCANCUUCUGUUGGUUCAUAUUGUUGUUGUCAAUACAGUGUAGAUUUGGGAUGGUACAGAGCAAAGAUCAUGUCUCUCACUGGCAGCCAAGCUGAAGUUUGUUUUGUGGAUUUUGGCAAUUCUGAAAAGGUUGCAUUGAAUGAAUUGAAGGUCUUAAAGGAUAACUUUCAGAGUCUACCUAUACAAGCAAUAUCCUGCUCUCUCAAUAAAGUAACCCCAACAGACAGUGUGUGGAGUGAAGACGCUAAGACUGCUUUUAGUGAUCUUAUUGUUGAGAAAGAUGCUGUCAUCAAAGUCAUCAAGAAAUCAUCUGAUAAUUGUUAUGUUGUGGACUUACUAGAUGUGAAUGGACAACACUUUGCUGCUGACAUGUUAAAUAGCAAAGGUUUUGCAGCAAGCUCCNUNCAGCAGGGUUCCAUUCAAGAUUUCAAACCAUUUGUGAANAACUUCAACUCUGGAGACUACAUAGAUGUCAACCCANUAUAUUGCGUAACUCCUCAUGACUUCCAUUGCCAAGUAUUAACUCAAGAUAACAUUGUAGCAUUCAAUCAGAUGACAAACCAACUACAAGACGUCUACUCUUACAUGGGUCCUAGUGAGAACACAAUUGGUACACCUUCUAAGGGCAUGCCCUGCUGUAUACUUUACCCAGCUGACAAUACUUGGAACAGAGGAAGAAUUGCUCAAGUCAACAAUGACAACACUCUAAAGGUUACCUUUGUGGACUAUGGAAAUGAAGAGACUGUACUCUUAAAUCAAGUUAAAGUGCUUCAGCCAGAAUUCCUGGAUCUUCCUGUUCAAUCAAUUCAUUGCAGCUUGCACUCUGUAAAACCAUGUACAAAUAACCAAUGGUCUGAUGUUGCUGUGAAAAGAUUCCUUGAACUUGUUGAUCAGAAACACUUAGUAGGAGAGGUCAUCGAUGCAGGUGGUGACAAGUUAUCCAUUGAACUCUACGACACCAUAGAUGACUCUGUAGAUGUCAGCAUUGCUCAAGUUCUCAUCAGUGAAAACCAUGCUGUCUCAACAUCACAACAAACCAAGAUAUCACACCCUAAGAUUUCUAAACUCUCUCAGUUAGUACCAUCCAAUGGAGACACUGUAUAUAUAACUGCUGUGGAUUCACCUGAAAAUAUCUACUGUCAACUCAGUGGAACAGAAGACAGAAUUGAUAACUUAAUGGCAAACUUGAAAGAAUUUUACGAAUCUGGACAACAAGAAGCUUUACAAUCAAUUUCACCCAANGAAUUGUGCGUUGCCUUGUUUUCUGAAGAUGGUGUGUGGUACAGGGCUGUAGCUGAAGAGGUUUCACCAGAAGGAAUCACNGUCAGAUUCAUUGAUUAUGGUAACUCNGAAACAUUGAGCUUAGGCAGUAUUAGGGCCAUUGAUAACCAAUUCCUAUCUGAGCAAAUACUUGCAAUAGANUGUGCUCUUUCUGGUNUCUUACCUGUAAAUGAUGACAUAGAAUGGAGUCCUGAAGCUGCAGAUUUCCUGGCUACUGCUGGAGGUGAUGAUGGCUUUACUUUGAACAUCAAAUCAGCCAAAGAUACNCUAGAGGUUGGUCUUAGUGAUAGUGGUGGUGAUCUUUCACAGAGAUUAGUGAAUGAAGGCCUUGCUAAAUCAACUAUUGCCUCUUCUGUGAGCAAUAUUGCACAAGCACCACCACAGCCUAGUAUUGCAGGCAACUACAAGGCUACCCCAGUAACUAUUGGAACNGNNAUGGAAGUNUAUAUCACNGAUGUGACAUCACCAGGACAGUUUUANUGUCAGCUUGCAGAUUAUGGAGACAGNCUGGAUGAGAUGAUGAAUAGUAUAAGCAACCACUACAGUAACAUGGACCAAUCACAAGCUUGCGUGUCAUCACCUGAAGUUGGACAGCCUUGUAUUGCAAUCUUUGAAGAAGACAGUAUGUGGUACCGUGCAAAGGUUGAGUCAGUGUCACAGCUUCAUACUACCAUACGAUUUGUUGAUUAUGGCAACACUCAAAAUGUCAAAGUCUCAGAUUUAAAGCAAAUUGAAGCACAGUUUUUGAAGCUGCCAGCUCUUGCAGCUCUUUGUACAGUUGAUCCAAAAAAGGCUACUUGGACAGCAGAUGAAACUGAGAAUUUCAAGGCUGUUACUGGUGAAGAGAAAGUGUCUGCUGAAGUCAUUGGAAAGGAAGGUGACAGAUAUGUUGUAAGGAUUUCACAAGGGGGAAGCUGUGUUACUGAUAGUUUCUUAAAAACCUCAGCUCAUCUAGAUAUCCCAUGCCAAGUUAUCCAANCAAACCAGACAGAAAAUGUGUAUGUAGCAUUUGCCAAAAGUUCCUCAGAGAUUUGUGUACAACUUGCAUCUUACAGUGACCAGUUGGACCAAGUUAUGGCAACCAUCGAGCUUGAGAUCAAAAGUCAACCUACAUUAAAGGAAGACCAAGUUGUUCCAGGAAUGCUNUGCUGUGCAUAUUUUGAAGAUGGAUGGUAUCGAGCAGUAAUAACAUCGCAACCAAACCAAGGACAAGUUAUGGUAGAGUAUGUUGACUAUGGAAACACAGCUUCACUUGCAGCUUCUGAGCUCAGGGCAGUACCCCAGUCUUGUGUUGCACUUCCAAGGCAAGCUCUUCACUGUAUUUUAGAAGGACAAGGUCUUGAGAAUGUGUCAAAAGAUACUCUAGAGAAUACACUAAUGGAAAGCAGAUUGACAGCAACAUUUCUUAGGACAGAUGGCCAGCACUGGACAGUAAACUUGAAACAAGAUGGUGUCGAUGUUACAGACAUACUACUAAUAAACACUGAGGUUGUUAUCAAAGAUCCUAACUUUACUUACCCUGAGAUAGUAGCUGGGUCUANUGCUCAGGUGUUUGUCAGCCAUAUUGAGAAUCCUGGAGAAUUUCAUAUUCAAUUCAAGUCAUCGACAGAUAAACUGGAUGUUCUAGGNAGCAAACUCAAUGAAGNUUANNGUCAGCCUGGUNUAACAUGUAAUGUUGAGGUUGGACGUGUUUGUUGUGCACAGUUCUCCGAGGAUGGGUGUUGGUAUAGAGGAACUGUAACAUCACUUCAGGAUGACUCACAUGUACAAGUCCAUUUUNUAGAUUAUGGGAACUCUGAUGUAGUAGAUAAAGGAAAGGUUAUGGUGCUUAAAGAAGAAUUCCUUGAACUCCCCAUUCUUGCUAUCCAGUGUAGUCUUGAUUCACCUGGAACUCAGUGGUCUGAUGGAGAGUUGAGCAAGUUUGAAGCCUUNGUACUUGACCAGGAACUUACUGUACAGUUUUUGGCCAGACAAGAUAACCAGUGGCAUGUUAAACUNACCUGUCUCGAGACAUCAAUCUUAGAGUUNAUGAGAAGAGUAGAAGAAACCAAUGUAGAUGUCAUUCUGGAGACGUUGACCAUACCAAAAAAGGAAGUUUCAGAGGGUCUGGUUGUUNAAUGUGUUUUAACUCAUGCAGAACUCACUGGAUUGUUCCACUUACAAUUCCUCUCCGAUCCCUUCCUAGAACAUGUUACUGACAUUAUUUCUGACCACUACCCUUCUUUGUGGGCCAAAGAAAGCUGUCUUAAUGACUGCCAAGUUGGGUCAUUCUGCUGUGUCAAGUUUUCAGAAGAUGAACAGUGGUACAGAGCAGUAGUUACUGGACUUUGCUCCAACUUUGAUGCUAUNGUGAAAUUUAUUGACUAUGGAAACUCAGAGGUUGCAGACAUUCCUUCUUUCAAGACUUUGUUGGAUGAACUGUAUNAAAUUCCACAGUGUUCUAUCCCUUGUAAGUUGGCUGGCAGGAAGUCAGAAUUGUCUCCAGAUGAGAUUGAGGCACUUCAAGCUCAAAUGCUUGACAAAACACUAAGUGUUACAUUUGUGAGGCCCAAUGAUCAAGGAUGGGAUGUUGUAAUUGAAGUUGAAGGGAAAUUUUUGAAUGAGUUUGAAGCAGUCACAGAUGAUNAUAAAGAUGAAGCAAAGCAGUUGAGUGUAGCCACAUUGUNAAGGGAUACUAGACAAGGUGUCAAGUUCCUUAUGGCAGAUAAUGAAAGUACAGUUUGGNUUCAACCAGUGAUAACAGAGAAUGAACUUAACACCCUAAUGAACAGUAUUGCUGAAAAUCCUCCAGAUCAACCAAUGCCNNUGUCUGAAAUCUCCACUGGAAAGCUUUGCUUGUGUAGAUUCACAGAAGAUAAUGAAUGGUAUAGAGCUAAAGUUAUUGACUGCAAUCAUGAUCAAGUGACUGUAAACUAUGUAGACUUUGGCAACACAGAGACUGUUGGUGCUGUUAGAGUAAGCCCAAUCAGNGAAUNUUACUUACAACUUCCAGCACAGGCUAUCAAGUGNAGUCUUUAUGGUGUUGAGCCACUGAGNGAAGAUAUUUUGAACAAACUGAAUGAGGAAUAUUUUGAAGUUCAGCUUGAAGCAGAAGUUGUCGAGANAAAAGAGAACGUGGACUCUGUCAGAUUGUUUAAAGAAGAUAAAGAGUUGAUUUUAAACCUCGUUGAAAUGAUGAGUGUUUGUAAGGAACCAGUGCCUGCAGCCAGCCAGCUUCCACUUAAUGAACCCAUUGAAGANGCUACUACUGAAAAUGAGGUGGAAAAACAACAGGAAGGUGACAAUGGAAGUGCUUUGGAAGAAAUUGCUAUUUCAGAUCAACCCAUUGAUUCCAAUGAGAAUUCGUCACUUGCUGUCGACUCGAAAAAAGAAAAUAUGGUCGCCAUAGGAGCUGAGACUUCGACAAGCUUGCAUCCUUUGGAUCAAGAUGAUUCCAAAAGUGAGUUUGAAAAAAAGAAUGAGGUUAUUACAGAACUGAGUAAGGAAGAAUUAGCAUAUUACUCACAAGAAUGUGAUGUAGGUGAAAACACUAGAAUAGAGACAACUCAUGUUUCUCUACCAGUGACAACAGAGAAAGAUCUGGACCACCAUGAGGACAUUUCUUGUGAGAAAAAACAAAAUGGUCUCGUUGAUGAAAAAAAGGUUGAGUCUUCUACUGAAAUAGUAACCUCUGCUGCUGAUUUAGAUUCUAUUGUGAAAGAUGGUAUAGAAGGUGAAAGUAUUAAUGGUGAUUUAUCAAUUCCUACAAAAAUUGAAUCCGAUUUGGAUGCUGCUGUGCAAGAACAAACAGAAUUCAUGGCUUUAUCUAAUGACGACGAGCAGAUGAUAACACAAACAGCACAAGAUAAAGUAAAAGAUGAAAAUGCAGAUGCUUAUGUUGCGGCCUCACAAAGUGAAUGCACUGAACCAAUCUUGUCAAAAGAUGCUGAUGACAAAAUCAUGGAGAUUCCUGAAAACUCAGCACAGGAAAUAGAAUCUGAAGAGAAAGAAAAAGAAGUUCACCAAUUACUUCAAGUUUGUGAAGAGACUGUUCCUGGAACUGAUGCAUUAGAAAAGAAUGAAACAAUGGAGGCAAAUGAGCAGAGCUUNCAAGUUCAAAAACAGGAUGCAAGUGAAAAUCUUCAAGUGCAAAUUAAAGAAAACGAGGAUAUGAUGUCAGAAACCAAUGAAGAGAAUAAAAUAUUGAAAGAUGAUGACACAAGUGAAAGAGUUCAAAGUAUCAAUUCAAAUGAAGAUCUUCAAACACAAGCCACAGAAGUGGAAGAUGAUGAAGCCAUGUUAGAAAGUAAUUCUGAGCUGAAAUCAUCAGAGGCUUAUGACACAAGUCAAUCAGCUGAACGACUGGAUUCACAUGAAGANAACCAAACANAAGCNGCUGAAGAAAAUAAAGAUGGAGCAGAUGCGACAGAAAGCAAGACAGAAAAUAUAACAUCAGAGGGUGAUGACACAAGCCAGCAAGCUCAAAGCCUGGAUUCACAUGAAGACAACCAAACACAAGCUGCUGAAGAAAAUAUAGAUGGAGCAGAUGUGACAGAAAGCAAGACAGAAAAUAUAACAUCAGAGGCUGAUGACACAAGCCAGCAAGUUCAAAGCCUGGAUCCACAGGAAGAAAACCAAACACAAGCUGCUGGACAAAAUGAAGAUGAAGCAAAUGUGUUAGACAGCAAGGCAGAAAAUAAAACAGUAGAGACUUAUGACACAAGCCAGCAUGUUCAAAGCCUGGAUUCACAUGAAGAAAGCCAAACACAAGCCACUGAAGAAAAUGAAGAUAGAGCAGAUGUGGUAGAAAGCAAAACACAGGCUUGUGAUACAAGCCAGCAAGUUCAAAGCGUGGAUUUACAUGAAGAUAGCCAAACACAAGCCUCUGAACAAAAAGAAGAAACAAAGAUAAUAGAUGAGAACAAAAAAACACCAGAUGUUGAUGAAACAGUUAAUCAAGUUCAAGGCAUGGUUUCUCAUGAAGAUCAACAAACACAAGCCAAUGAACAAGAAGAGGAUAGAAGUGAUAUAUCAGAAAAUAACUGCAACAAUGAAACCUUGUCUGUCAACACACCUCAAAGCCUGUAUUCAACUGACGAAAAAGCUACUGAAGAAAAAGAGGAAGUCACCGAUAUGUUAGAAGAAGUCAAAGAUGAAAAAUUUGUGACUUCUGAACAAAUUACACAAGAAGAAGACACANGUGCAAAUAAGCAUCUUCCAGAAACUGAAGAGAAAGAAGGAGAUAAAGUCCAGUCUAAGGAUGAAGACAUUGAAGCAGCUGUAUCUGAAUCUUCUAUUGAACAUGACACACAAAAAGAUGAUGAAGGUAAAGCCAAAGNUACAACAAGUGCUGCUAUUGAAAGUAAAGAAGAUGACAGCCUUCCAAUGGAAUUAGGUUCUUCAGAACAGGAAAGUGAACAAGAGGAGGUAAAAGCCUCAAAUGGACACAUCACUAAUGGAAAAACAAACCCAUGUGACAUUGACAGUGCUACUGAUGAUAGUGAUGCUCAUAAUGAUGGUUGCUUGUCAGAUUCAGCUUUGGAGAAGCUGGACAACUUGCUGGAAGGACCUGAAGCUGAAGAGUUUAGCCAAGGAGCAGAAGGACGUAUGAAAAAUAAAAAGUCAUGUCAGCCUAUGUGAACCUUGCUAGAAGAGAGACAUUAAAAUGCUUAAAAGCAUUUCUGUUACUGUUAUUAUUUAGCAACAGUGCAAAGCAAGCAAGCAAUUGUUUUCUAUAGAGCUAUAUAUUAAGUAAUAGUUAUUGACUGUCUUUUAAUGAAAGAUUCUGAUAAUAUACACAUCCAACCUUUCCUGGCAUCCCGUUCAAUGGGUUAUUGAACUUAAAAAUUAGUCUCUAAAGUUUUGUUUAUUUCAUAAGACAAUGGGAAAGACGAGGAAAAUAUACUGAGAUUUGCAUCAAAAAGUAUGUACAUGUGCUAACAGUUUUGAUGGUCAUACCAGGCAUUGGGUGAGAAUGUUAAUUGAAUGCAUUUUGUUGUGCAAAAUUCCCAUUAUUUCUCUGUGAUAAUUCCAUAUGCAAUCCACAUAUUUAAUCUGGUUGACAACUUUGUGCAUCAUUGAACACUAGUUUUAAUUCAACUAACGUCUUGACAAGUUGGUAUUUGAUUCAGACUAGUACUCUUGAAGGUUUUAUAAAAAUCUGUUGUUUAGCACAUAUAUUUUUUACUAAACCCUCAAAACUCUUCAGAAAAAAGUGUAGAAGUUUUUUUUUUUGGCAUGUUUGUUCCCUGUGGAGUGUGAACAUAUAUUUAAUGGUACAUCCAGAAAAAUCCUAUUGCUUUAUGUAUAAGGAAGAAAAAUUGUUUAAUCCAUAAUGAUUAUAAUUUACUAAUAAUUGUCUUAUGGUAUGAUUUAAGUGUGCCCUUUCAUUAACAUAUAGAGUUAUAUCAGGAUNUAGAAUGGACCCAUUUUCAGAAGCUGCAGUCAUUUUUGAGCCUAUUUUCUAAUCAUAUCAAUUGCUUGCUAUUCUGAAUAGUCUUUUCGAUAUAUUCUAUUAUAUAAAUGUUUUCUUGAUUGCCAUGAUUGUGAUUAAUGAAAAAGUGAUUGUUAAGUUGGUGUAAAUAUGUAAGUUAGAGUGGUUAUCAUAAGAUCAUGAAACAAGGUGUAUUUAUUUACUUGUAAAGAUUUUUUGUAAAAAUAUGAACAAUUUUAUAUAGUCUUGUAUUUCUGGUGAGUGCUUCAAAUUUUGAAAGAUUUGAUAAUUCAAAUACAGUAGGUUUUCAAGGCAUGCUUACCCCAAAUCUUUUUGAGCUUGCAAUUACUACAAAAAGUAACAUGUAUUUAUGACAAACCACUCUAAUUUCAUAAUUCCUUGUUCAUGUUUUGACACAACAUUUUACAGAACAAUGCUUAUAAGUAUAAAGUUUAUAAUAAUAUAUAGUUUUUCAAAGUUAAAUAGUAAUAUUAAAAACAUCCUGCACAGCUAGAGUGCAAACACUAAAANCAUGAAAGAACGAAUCAAAUAGUUCAACACAGUGUAGAUUAUACAAAGGAAAACAUAGGAAUNAGGAUAAUUGGUACAAUUCAGCACUAUUUGGUAAACUUGUUCAUGGUCUUAGUGUUUGCACUUGAUUUCUUUGACAGUGAAAGUUUCUAAUNGAGAUAUUUUUGUAUACCAAUACGUUUAUACAAAAAUGUAUUUCUAAAACAAAAAACAGUAUUGCUAUAAUAACCAUUAAACAUCCUAUUUACUUGA